UCGGAGUUGAGCUUCACAGAGCAGUGCAACAGGACGACACGACAGACAUGAAGAGCAUUAACAGUUCAGCGCAAACGUUUCCCGCGCAAGUUUGAAUCUCUCUCAGUCAGGGGGUGAUUGACUGACAGACUACGUUACUCUCUACCAAACGGUUAUUCACUUAUAAAACCUUUUAAAGUUUAGCGCAAAUGUUUCCUGUGCAAGUUUGAAUCUCUCUCAGUCAUGGGGGUGAUUGACUGACAGACUACGUUACUCUCUACCAAACGGUUAUUCACUUAUAAAACCUUUUAAAGUUUAGCGCAAAUGUUUCCUGUGCAAGUUUGAAUCUCUCUCAGUCAUGGGGGUGAUUGACUGACAGACUACGUUACUCUCUACCAAACGGUUAUUCACUUAUAAAACCUUUUAAAGGUAACAUUACCACAUUUAUUAAUUUAUUUAUUAUGUUGUUUGAGUACACCACAGCUCUGUAAGUGAAAAAUUAAUUCAUAUUUAUGUGUUCUUUCUCACAGUUUAGCACAAAUGUUUCCUGUGCAAGUUUGAAUCUCUCUCAGUCAUGGGGGUGAUUGACUGACAGACUACGUUACUCUCUACCAAACGGUUAUUCACUUAUAAAACCUUUUAAAGUUUAGCGCAAAUGUUUCCUGUGCAAGUUUGAAUCUCUCUCAGUCAUGGGGGAGAUUGACUGACAGACUACGUUACUCUCUACCAAACGGUAAAGUUUAGCGCAAAUGUUUCCUGUGCAAGUUUGAAUCUCUCUCAGUCAUGCGGGUGAUUGACUGACAGACUACGUUACUCUCUACCAAACGGUUAUUCACUUAUAAAACCUUUUAAAGGUAAC